rnacentral:misc_RNA from 1 species
CACCGCAGAACCAACUAGCAAGGUCGAGGCUUUGCUGCGUACUGAUGAUUUGAUUGACCCCGUGUCAGCCAAGCAUUGAAGGACUGUGGCGUGGUGGGUGCACCGAGUGUGCGUGUCGUUGCUUAAUACGACUCCCUCUGGUAUCACAUCUGGAGCGGGCUAUCCAGUCACAAUCCCCAGCGAAAUGUGCAUCUACGGGUAGCCCCGAUGUGGCGGGCCGCGGAAUCGCGGACCCUCCCUCAAAGCCAGCUCAUGUGACACCAUACCAAAAGAGAGAGACCAAACGUACCCUGAAGCAACGGAUGCGCACACGAGUGUGCAGCUCAUCGCGAUCAGUAAGAGAGAGAGAGUACCGAUCACUAG